rnacentral:rRNA from 1 species
AGAGUUUGAUCAUGGCUCAGAACGAACGCUGGCGGCAUGCCUAACACAUGCAAGUCGAACGAGACCUUCGGGUCUAGUGGCGCACGGGUGCGUAACGCGUGGGAAUCUGCCCAAAGGUACGGAAUAGGCCAGGGAAACUUGGGUUAAUACCGUAUGAUGCCGCAAGGCCAAAGAUUUAUCGCCUUUGGAUGAGCCCGCGUAGGAUUAGCUAGUUGGUGGGGUAAUGGCCUACCAAGGCGACGAUCCUUAGCUGGUCUGAGAGGAUGAUCAGCCACACUGGGACUGAGACACGGCCCAGACUCCUACGGGAGGCAGCAGUGGGGAAUAUUGGACAAUGGGCGAAAGCCUGAUCCAGCAAUGCCGCGUGAGUGAAGAAGGCCUUCGGGUUGUAAAGCUCUUUUACCCGGGAAGAUAGUGACUGUACCGGGAGAAUAAGCCCCGGCUAACUCCGUGCCAGCAGCCGCGGUAAUAC